rnacentral:rRNA from 1 species
GACGAACGCUGGCGGCGUGCUUAACACAUGCAAGUCGAACGAGUGGCGAACGGGUGAGUAAUACGUGAGUAACCUGCCCUCUUUUUGGGAUAAGCCUUGGAAACGGGGUCUAAUACCGGAUAAAGGGGGAUGGGCUCGCGUCCUAUCAGCGUGUUGGUGGGGUGAUGGCCUACCAAGGCGGUGACGGGUAGCCGGCCUGAGAGGGUGACCGGGCACAGUGGGACUGAGACACGUCCCAGAGUACUAAGUGUGGCAGCAGUGGGGGAUAUUGCACAAUGGGCGAAGGCGUGAUGCAGCGACGCCGCGUGGGGGAUGAAGGCUUUAGUGUUGUAAACCUCGUUCGCUAUCCAACGGUUAGGUGGAGAAGAAGCGCCGGCUAACUACGUGCCAGCCGCCGCGGUAAUUC